GAUAAAGAUAAGGAAGAUAAAGAUAAGGAUAAAGAAGAUAAAGAUAACGAAGAUAAAGAUAAGGAUAAAGAUUAAGAUAAAGAUAAGGAAGAUAAAGAUAAGAGGAUAAAGAUAAAGAUAAGGAUAAGGAUGAUAAUGAUAAGAAUAAAGAUAAAGAAGAUAAAGAUAAGGAUAAAGAAGAUAAAGAUAAGGAAGAUAAAGAUAAGGAUAAAGAUAAGGAAGAUAAAGAUAAGGAUAAAGAUAAAGAAGAUAAAGAUAAAGAAUAUAAAGAUAAAGAUAAGGAUAAAGAUAAGGAAGAUAAAGAUACAGAAUAAUACUGGAUAGAUGCAUUAAUGAAUAUAUAGAACGAAUACGCC